GUGAACGUGAAUAUUUACGCGUCUGCCAAUUUGCUCCAUACUAGGGGCCAUCGCAGCGCAUAGCCCGCACUCAAAACAACCACACGCGUGUUUACAAUUGUUGAACUCUUCGCGAAGGUGGUUAACGGAAAUUAGAAAUAGUAUCUCGAAACGAACAAAUCGGUUUGCUGAUCGGUAUUGGCGCUAAGGGGAUCUUGUGUUAUUUGGUCAUUUUUUAACUCGACGAAGGCGAACUAUUGAAAUGUGUCGAUUUUAUAACCGCAAAAGAUAUGCAUUUUUUAAAGCACCGUUUAAUCACAAACACGCCAAACGGCAUGUGUGCACCGGUUUUGGUUUCGGAGCAAACCUCUUUCCGGCUGAAAUCAACCCUGAGUUGAACAACUUUUGAUUCGGAGGCAGGGCCGCCUGGUGGUGCUACAAUUACACGGUGCUACAAUUACAUAUAUGUUUUAAGGUUCUCGAGAAAAUAGUCCAGUUUUGCCAUCUCUGUCGAACAACGGUUCCGGGUUGCAACUUGAAAGCCUGAAUGUUCCGAGUGCAAUGGAGUAGCACCAGCAGCAGCCGCCGCUCCCGUUGCCAUCGUCACCGCCAGGGAUCUCGUUUACCUUCAAAUCGAUUCGGUUGUGCUUGCGCCGUUACACCCUUUUGAACGCCGUUCGGGUGGGACGUGUGUUGUAGAGUAGUUUGGGGUUCGGCACAAUGUUCACUGAACUCUAGGUGCAGUUUGGUCGAAAAAGCUCUAUAGCUUUUCAUAGUAAAUCGUUGGGCGAUGUCUUCACUAAAUUUUAUUCAUUACAGAGCACAGUGAACCUUCUCGAAUAACAUGCGUUAAUAAAAUACAAACUCUCUGGAAAUAAUUUAGUAGCCCUGAAUAUAUUUAAUAAUUUCAUAA